rnacentral:rRNA from 1 species
CCUACGGGUGGCUGCAGUGGGGAAUAUUGCACAAUGGGGGAAACCCUGAUGCAGCGACGCCGCGUGAGUGAAGAAGUAUUUCGGUAUGUAAAGCUCUAUCAGCAGGGAAGAAAUAGCGACCUUUGGGUCGCCAGAUGGUACCUGCCUAAGAAGCCCCGGCUAACUACGUGCCAGCAGCCGCGGGAAUACUGAGGGGGCAAGCGUUAUCCGGAUUUACUGGGGGUAAAGGGAGCGUAGGCGGCAGCAUAAGUCUGAAGGGAAAUGCUGGGGCUUAACCCCGGAACUGCUUUGGAAACUGUGCAGCUAGAGUGCAGGAGAGGUAAGUGGAAUUCGUGGUGUAGCGGUGAAAUGCGUAGAUAUUAGGAGGAACACCAGUGGCGAAGGCAGCUUACUGGACUGUAACUGACGUUGAGGCUCGAAAGCGUGGGGAGCAAACAGGAUUAGAUACCCGAGUAGUC